rnacentral:rRNA from 1 species
UACGUAGGGUGCGAGCGUUGUCCGGAAUUACUGGGCGUAAAGAGCUCAUAGGUGGUUUGUCGCGUUGUCCGUGAAAACUCACAGCUUAACUGUGGGCGUGCGGGCGAUACGGGCAGACUGGAGUACUGCAGGGGAGACUGGAAUUCCUGGUGUAGCGGUGGAAUGCGCAGAUAUCAGGAGGAACACCGGUGGCGAAGGCGGGUCUCUGGGCAGUAACUGACGCUGAGGAGCGAAAGCGUGGGGAGCGAACAGG